rnacentral:pre_miRNA from 1 species
UGCCGACCCCUUCGCCGGUCGCGCGUUCCCCUUGCGGUGAGCGCGCCGCCGUCGAAUGGAUCGGUG